AUGUAGCUUAACUAAAGCAUCUCGCUUACACCGAGAACAUGUCCGUUAAACUCAGAUCAUUUUGAG
rnacentral:tRNA from 1 species